rnacentral:rRNA from 1 species
GACGGGGGGGUCCUAGCGUUGUUCGGAAUCAUUGGGCGUAAAGCGUGUGCAGGCGGUUUUGUAAGUCAGAUGUGAAAGCCCCGGGCUUAACCCGGGAAGUGCAUUUGAAACUACAAAACUUGAAUAUGGAAGAGGGUCGUGGAAUUCCAGGUGUAGUGGUGAAAUACGUAGAUAUCUGGAGGAACACCGGUGGCGAAGGCGGCGACCUGGUCCAAUAUUGACGCUCAUACACGAAAGUGCGGGGAUCAAACAGG